UUCUGGGAACUGAUCUCCAUUGGACUGUAGUGACAGAAAAUGAAACCUGUUUUUCACUAUGGGAUGAGAAGAUCAAUGCAGUUUUGGAGAACAAACCCAAACCUGAAAACUUUGACCAGCUUUGUCAGUCUACAGGAGCUCUCCAGAUCUUUUUUGCUGUGUGAUUGCUGAAGCAUUUUCCUGGCACAGCAGUAAUGAUUGAUGAACACACUUCAGGGGCUUGCUUUGUGACCUGGGUUAUGAUCUAUGUCUGCUACUGAAGCUAUCUUGACUGGCGUGAGAAAUGGCUCUCCGCAUAUGCAGAGGUGCAGCACAGCCCCCAGCUCUCAAUACAACCUUCAGAUGAAGAGGCAAAAUAACAAUUCCAGGCACUGUAAAGAGGACCUUUUUCUUUGAUGAGGACAUUGCUGAGUUUAACUAGCAGAAGGCACGAAGCUGCACUGUUCAGAAGAAGCAAGAUUCUUUCCUCACAGCUACGGCACUGCGACACAGCCUGCUUUUUCGCAUUUACCUGGGUGGCUGCUGCUGGUUCUGCUGCUGCUGCAGCCUCGCUGCCUGCACUUCACCCCAGCUUGGCUGAUGCGAGUCUCCCUCGUCUGCGCAUCGCUAAGGAAGAGAAGCGAUGGAGCCGCAAUUUUUCUGUUGGUUCUGGAAGCAAAGGGUUGUGAUGUGGGGUGGUUUGGGGGUUUUCUUUUUUUUGGUGGGGAGAAAAAGGAGGGAUGUUAAUCUAGGGUGGAAUGGGUAAAAGCUUAAAGAAAUAUGAUGAAAAGUAAUCCAGUGCUCAACAAGGGCAUCAGCAGCAAGAAUCCAGCCUCUGCUGCUCCAGAGGAUUAAGAUGGGGAAAGCCACAGAGCUGCAGUCGAGUUGCACCUCAGCGUUGUGCUGGAGAUGGAUAAACAAGGUAUUGGUCGUAUCUGCCUGCUAAGGCAAAGCCACGGGAGGAAGAGCGAGCGAGAGAGUGCGUGCAAAUGCAGUGGAAGAAGAAACGCUGCGUGCUGUUUGUCUGAUUCUGUGCAUUCUCAAUGUGGAGAGGAUGGGGUGAUUAAGAAAGCAAUGUAUGGAUGGAGGCACUGUGAAUUGUAGCUCGAACACUCCUGAUGCUGUCAGGGAGGGAACUGAUGAGCUAGGUGGCUGCAGCAGUAUCCCCAGGGAAAACAGCGGCCAUGCUGUGUAUGUAUGUGCUUAUGUACGUGUGUGUGCUUAUGCGUGUGGGAGCAUGUACAGGCAUGAAAGAAAGACAUUUCUGACCAAUUUGCAGAGGAAGCUUGUCACUUUGAUGGUCAGACUUGAUUGCAGCUUGUAUUUUCAGCUCUAGCUCUACACCCAAUUCCUGAGUGAGGCGGCACUUUGCGAAUGCAGAUGUAGGCAGAAUUCUUCUAAGAAAUGUGAAAGCAGAUCCUUUCCAUUUAACACCUUGGAGCACUGAAUCUUCUGCACUGUGUUGAGAGAAGCUAAGGGGAGGGGGUCAUUUUCUCCAUCUUAAAAUCUUUAUAAACACAGCUAUAUUCAGUGCGGCAAAAAAUUCUAUGCUGUAAUAGAAAUGUGAUCAAUCUAAUCAAAAUAAAUGCAUCCCAGAUGACUUCUAGACCAGCUGGCUACCACAGUCAUCAGAUGGCUAAAUGCUCAACUGAGCAUUUAUAGUCAGCAUUAUAUUUCUGGUUUUUUUUUUUUAGAAUUUUAAAAUCAGCGCUGACUAAAAUCAUUAUUUCUCUAUUUAAAAUAGACAGCAGUUAGCAGCAGAUUUUUCUGAAAUGUACCUGUUUAUUUUUUGCCAUUGUAAUUUGACUGGCUUGAGCUCUUUUUGUUUAUCUGUUUGGUUUAUAUUUCUUUGCAUGCAUUGAGGAGACUGUGUUUUUAGAACAGGGAAACUAGUCACAGUGCUUGGCAUACUGAGAUCAGCUGGCAGCUCGGGUUGCCCGUAUCUGAACAAUGCAAAAAUAGGGAAAACAAGUACUGCAGUCAGCUAGUGGGGCUUGGCAUGGCUUUUAGCAGCUGCCUAGUAAGAAAGAGGGUGGUUUUUUUUCCUUUUUUUCCCUUUUCUACAAAUCCGUAGACCAUAAUGUCAUCCUAAAAUGCAUACGAGGGGAUUUCCCAAUAGUCAUGGUGAGCUACCCUGCAAGAUGCCUGUCUGGCCCUUCCACUGUUACCCUGUCUACAAAGGCUGCCCUGUGUGUUGGAUUAUAUUUAGCCAGCUGCUGGGUAACAUUCUUGUGCUGGGGGCAAAGGAGUCUUAUUACUCCCAUACUGUAGUUUUGUGUUUUCUUAAAGAAAAAUAACCUUGGCAAUACAGCAGGCUCUGAAAAGAAGCAUAUACCACUCCUGCACCUUUCUGAAACUGCUGUGCUUUUAACUCAGGCUGUUUUAAAGCAAACGAGCAGGAGGAAGAGUGGCUUUUAGCUCAUAGCUUCAAAGCUGCAAAAUGUCAGCAGCUUGUAAUUAGGAGCCCGUGGUUACGUCAGGGACUGUAUCUCUCCAAGAAUAGCUGUGUGAUGUGUGCCACAAAGCAAAAGAAGGCAGUCGUAACCUGGUUCUUGAGCCUGCUUCGAACAAGAGAGCGAUAUGGAUUAAUGAAUCGGCUGCAUUCGUAAAUCAGAGCUGGAUGGAUUACAUGUAUGAGACUGGCUGCACUCUGCAAAAGCGAAAACUGAAUUAUCAGUUUGUCAGAGGGCACACGUUCACCGGCUGGAAGUGUGAAUCCUUCGGAAGAAAUGCAGACAAGCCAUCUGUCCUAGAAAAUGUCAUUCCUGUCUCCAUCUUGCACAGGCAGCUGCGUGCCACGAGGCAUGGGAGGGAGCGACCGGCCAGCCGCACCGAGGUGUUUAAAAGCAGGCGUAAAAUUAAACACAAAGCCAGCACACCAAAACUCAGCUCUGGCGUUGCAGAUUUGAUGCUGAAAUACCACCCCAGUGCAGACCUACUACGGUCAGGUGUGGUUUCUAUUAAGGCUUCUCUGGCUAAGGGAUGGUGCAAAAAAAGGCUUAGCGCAACAUCUUGCAACCAAACGUGGUCCUGUCGGUGCACUGGGAAUGCAGCAGCUUGGGGCUGCCUGCUCUGCAGGGACGUGCCUGGAGCUUUUUGACCCCUGCUGUCGUUUUUCGAUCUGGGCUGGCGGCUCUGCAGCACUUAAGCGGUGAGAUUGCAGGGGUGCUUACCCUGCUCUGACCGGCCUUUCCCAGUGCUGCGGCUGGAGAUGUUUACACGGCUUUUAUCGACAGCCCUUCGCCAGUCAGUGUGCAUUGCUGCCUGUUUUUGGAAGCCUGGCGUGGUUCCCUGGUCCCAGCACAAGUCAGCUGCAGUUCUACUCUUUGUGCCGCUCUUUAAUUUACCAGGAUAUGUAGAUUGUAUUAUGCAAACAGUGGUUGUGGGUUCUGUUGUUUUUUUUCCUUUUUUUUUCCUGACCGUGAACACAAAUUUGUAGGAGGAGAUGACUCUGUAUAUUAAACCAAUAGCUCUUUGAAUCGUGUGUAGUAUAAUUUAAAUAUACUUACUUUAAUUAGUAGGAGCCUACAAAAGCCAGCAUUGUCUGGGGCUGUUUAAUUUACAUCGCGGCCUCUGUCAAUGAGCACAACCUGCCUGAACAGAAUGGCGUAUUCUGCGCAGCCGGCAGGGUGGAAGGCGUCACUUUGUUUGUGUUCCUUCCAACAGCUGGUCAUUAAUGCAGGCCCCAUCUCCAGAGUGAAGUGCUGGUGGACAUGAAUGGCCGCCUGAUUAAUGCUGCCCCUCGACGGCUCCUUCCUCCAGCAGCGAUGCUCGCAGCAGAAUAAUGCAGCGUGAUUUGAUUGCGCUCUAACAGGGCAGUAUGUCAUUGUGUCACCAAGCAAUUGAGGUUAUUAUGGGGCAGGGCAGACAGACGGGACAGUGGGGUUACUAGACCGUGGCAUUUUUAGAAAUGCAGGCCUGACCUACUUAGAGUUAUUCUUGCUGGCUGGCAGCUGCAUGGUGCAUGGCUUGUCCUGAUAGGCUGAGGCUGUUGCUAGGGGGAAUUAGCAUGAAUUUUUCCACAUACAGACUCAGUGAUUGAAUGAUAAAAGCUGACUGGAAUUAAAGAGAUUCGGUUCAGUAUUAUGCAGAUUUAUCUCCCUUGUUUUUUUUUUCUCUCUCUCUCAAAUGCAUAAAAAGGAGCAGAAGACAGUUUGUUUCCAUUCAUUUUUGACCUAUUUUUUUUCCAUAGGAGGGCAGAAGCACUGUGAAUUUUUGAUCAUUUACUAUUUAAGUCGUUGAAAUGGUAUGACAGUGGGCAUGCAUCUUUAAUGUAUAGGAGAUUCAAAUUCCUUCUCUGCAGAAGGGAAUGAAAUGAAUAUAGUUUAUACUCUGGUCAGACCAUUGC